rnacentral:tRNA from 1 species
GCCACUUUAGCUCAGGUGGUUAGAGCGACUGAUUCGUAAUCAGUAGGUCGGCGGUUCGAAUCCGCCAAGUGGCU